CAUCGCGAGGUGUAGGCGAGAAGAAGCAAUAGCGAAACCGUGGCUCGACGGACAGAAACCUGAUAGUAAGGCGUAUUAAGCGGAUGAGAUGGCAGAAAGCAUCAAAGUCCAAAUUGGCAACCGUAACCUUAAUGCGUAAAUCAGGCGAGUAAACGGGGAAAGGUUU
rnacentral:ncRNA from 1 species